GACGCAUCACUGGUGUUCGGGUUGUCAUGCCAAUGGCACUGCCCGGUAGCUAAAUGCGGAAGAGAUAAGUGCUGAAAGCAUCUAAGCACGAAACUUGCCCCGAGAUGAGUUCUCCCUGAGACUUUAGGUCUCCUGAAGGAACGUUGAAGACGACGACGUUGAUAGGCCGGGUGUGUAAGCGCAGCGAUGCGUUGAGCUAACCGGUACUAAUGAACCGUGAGGCUUAACCUU
rnacentral:rRNA from 1 species